GAUCCUGGCUCAGGAUGAACGCUAGCUACAGGCUUAACACAUGCAAGUCGAGGGGCAGCAUGGUCUUAGCUUGCUAAGGCCGGUGGCGACCGGCGCACGGGUGAGUAACGCGUAUCCAACCUGCCUUACACUCUUGGACAGCCUUCUGAAAGGGAGAUUAAUACAGGAUGUUAUCAUGAGUAAGUAUUUUCGCAUGAUUAAAGGUUUACCGGUGUAAGAUUGGGAUGCGUUCCAUUAG
rnacentral:rRNA from 1 species